UGAGGGAUAUUGGGCAAUGGGGAAGCCCAUGACCCACGCGACGCCGCGUGAGGGAAGACGGUCUUCGGAUUGUAAACCUCUGUCUUUGGGGACGAAAAGGACGGUACCCAAGGAGGAAGCUCCGGCUAACUACGUGCCAGCAGCCGCGGUAAUACGUAGGGAGCGAGCGUUGUCCGGAAUUACUGGGUGUAAAGGGAGCGUAGGCGGGAUUGCAAGUUGGAUGUGAAACUGCGGGCUCAACCCGGAGAGUGCAUUCAAAACUGCGAUUCUUGAGUGAAGUAGAGGCAAGCGGAAUUCCUAGUGUAGCGGUGAAAUGCGUAGAUAUUAGGAGGAACACCAGUGGCGAAGGCGGCUUGCUGGGCUUUUACUGACGCUGAGGCUCGAAAGUGUGGGGAGCAAACAGGAUUAGAUACC
rnacentral:rRNA from 1 species